rnacentral:rRNA from 1 species
AUGAACGCUGGCGGCGUGCCUAAUACAUGCAAGUUGAGCGAACAGAUGAGGAGCUUGCUCCUCUGACGUUAGCGGCGGACGGGUGAGUAACACGUGGAUAACCUACCUAUAAGACUGGGAUAACUUCGGGAAACCGGAGCUAAUACCGGAUAAUAUAUUGAACCGCAUGGUUCAAUAGUGAAAGACGGUUUUGCUGUCACUUAUAGAUGGAUCCGCGCCGCAUUAGCUAGUUGGUAAGGUAACGGCUUACCAAGGCAACGAUGCGUAGCCGACCUGAGAGGGUGAUCGGCCACACUGGAACUGAGACACGGUCCAGACUCCUACGGGAGGCAGCAGUAGGGAAUCUUCCGCAAUGGGCGAAAGCCUGACGGAGCAACGCCGCGUGAGUGAUGAAGGUCUUCGGAUCGUAAAACUCUGUUAUUAGGGAAGAACAAAUGUGUAAGUAACUAUGCACGUCUUGACGGCACCUAAUCAGAAAGCCACGGCUAACUACGUG